UACGUAGGGACCAAGCGUUGUUCGGAUUUACUGGGCGUAAAGGGCGCGUAGGCGGCCUGCUAAGUCGAACGUGAAAUCCCUGGGCUCAACCCAGGAACUGCGUCCGAUACUGGUUGGCUUGAAUCCGGGAGAGGGACGUGGAAUUCCAGGUGUAGCGGUGAAAUGCGUAGAUAUCUGGAGGAACACCGGUGGCGAAGGCGACGUCCUGGACCGGCAUUGACGCUGAGGCGCGAAAGCCAGGGGAGCAAACGGG
rnacentral:rRNA from 1 species